GAUGAACGCUGGCGGCGUGCCUAAUACAUGCAAGUCGAGCGAACAGAUGAGGAGCUUGCUCCUCUGACGUUAGCGGCGGACGGGUGAGUAACACGUGGAUAACCUACCUAUAAGACUGGGAUAACUUCGGGAAACCGGAGCUAAUACCGGAUAAUAUAUUGAACCGCAUGGUUCAAUAGUGAAAGACGGUUUUGCUGUCACUUAUAGAUGGAUCCGCGCCGCAUUAGCUAGUUGGUAAGGUAACGGCUUACCAAGGCAACGAUGCGUAGCCGACCUGAGAGGGUGAUCGGCCACACUGGAACUGAGACACGGUCCAGACUCCUACGGGAGGCAGCAGUAGGGAAUCUUCCGCAACGGGCGAAAGCCUGACGGGGCAACGCCGCGUGAGUGAUGAAGGUCUUCGGAUCGUAAAACUCUGUUAUUAGGGAAGAACAAAUGUGUAAGUAACUAUGCACGUCUUGACGGUACCUAAUCAGAAAGCCACGGCUAACUACGUG
rnacentral:rRNA from 1 species